CCAAAUGUAUUACAUGAAAAAUAUUAAUUUGUGGGUCACACCAGCCUCGAGUCCUUUGAAGUCCAUUUUCAUAGAAAUGUGGGGACUCUGCUGGAAGUGGGAGAGGAAACAUAGUCUUACGAAGUGACAAGCCCAACCCCCAGCUCACCAAUAAUGGAUACAGGGUGACUGAUAUUUAAGAAUGCUUUUAAAUGUACAUGUCUUUUCCAUAGUUUCAAUGUGGCCCACCUAUAAAAUUCAUAAAUAAGGAAAACAUCUUUAAAAAGUUAAGUGUGGGUAGAAUCCAGCUAUUAGAAGCCAGCUCGCUCUGUGUGUCUCCGUUUUCUUACUAGUCAGGCUCAGAACGGAUCUCUGCUAUAUUCCUGUUCCCUGAGCUUUACUGAUUAUAAACAGAUUCCCUCCUUUAUCACCACGUUUUAUGGACUGAUGCUGCUAUGCUUCCCUGGAAGACAAAAGGAGAAGAAAAAUCUCUUCUAUGCACUUCACAUCUGUGGAAGUAUAUUGAGUUAGGCUAAAAUGUAAAUAGAGUUUCACUGAGAGACAAAAGAAGUAUUAAUUUUAUUCCAACAUUUAUGACUAUAUGACAUAUGGACCCCUUUUUUCUCCAUUGUUGCUUCUCCUGUUCAUAAUAGCAAGGUACUGACUUAAGGUAUUUGGCCAGCUUCCUGGAAGCUCUUUCUAAGUAGAAACGAGGAAGAGCCAGGUGCAUGAAUCAACAGCAGCUCUCCCAUGUUGAUCAAACAAGGCUGGCAUUGCUGCAAAAAUGAGAAAGCAGAUCUGGGACAAACGCUGGGCUCUAUUUCCUCGUAUUGUAUUUUGCUUUGGCAACUUGCAGGCUUACUUAUUAGAGCAGCAGAUGUUUUUUAAGACUUACAGGGAAAAGAGCAUAUCAGAUUCCAUGCCCAUGCCUGUCCCAAAUGCACAUGGCAAGAAGGGUUACUUGGAACUGAACACCCAGAGGGCAGAGAACAUAUUCAGAGGUCCUUAACAGCACCAAGGGAAUAUCUUUUCAACAAAAAAUGAAUUUAUUCUCAGAGCGGGUCAAACCUCCUUAUUCCCAGGUUCAUUUUGACCUUUAGCCACAAGGAUGCAAUUGUAUCAUUAAAAACAAACAAACAAAAAAACAACAAAACAAACAAACAAAAACACUCCUGAGGUUUCCUACCCAGGAACCUCAGCUCUAAGAGGGGCCCUGUGAUUCUCCAUCUGUCUUCUAUGUACCUGGGGGGCUGGGAGGACCCAUCGUCUCUGCCUGGCUUGGAUUCUUGCAUCGCCCGAGCAUUUGCCUUGAGCAUAGUGGAUACUCCACAGGUACCUGGGCUCUCCUGAUUCCCUAAGGAUACUCCAGGUUUAAAGAAUUCUGAGAUUCCCCAGUGUUGUGAUUCUUACAGUUUCUUUCUAAUUUGGUCUUGAGGUCUCUUUCUUGGAGUGGCCCUAAGCCAAGACAGCCAUUUUUAGGAGAACCCUGAUGUGGGAAUUGGACAUGUGGGUCUGGUGAGACACAAUGAGAAAGUGAAAACAGACAAAAUUUAUUACUCACAGGUACAGAGAGGUUAGGGGUGCCAGCAGGAGGCCAACGGGAAGUUUGCAGGUGGCAGGGAGCUCAAGCAAUGGGUGGUGGGUGAGAGAGAGAAGGAGAGAGAGAGGGGGGACCUGUGGGACUAAGCCGUGGGCGUGAUCCCUUGGGCCUUCCUGUGGGGGUUAUGGAUUGCACAGGCAAGGGGAAGAGCUUAUUUACAUGACUUGGGCUGACCAUUAUGUUUUAUCAUGGUCAGCAGCUGUGGGCUGUGCAGAGUUUUGGGUCAGUGGGAUGAGGAACAAACAGGCUUUAUCUCAAACAAUCACACGGAGAGGAAAAGUUUUAACUAGGCCAAAGGUGACCGGGUACAACUGGGUUUCAAACAACUUACAUCAGGCCUAGAAAGUAAUUGUGUUAGACAAAUGCAUUACACUCUGUGUCCUUUGAUUUAAACUCUGCUUCGGUGGAUGGUAUUUUUCAGGAGAGGAGGUAGACCACAUGGCAGGAAUAGGGUGAAAUUAAAUAGAUGCGAAUAGUACAGUAGAAGGUUUCAGGGGAUUUGGGACGUGACAAACUGGUGAACUACUGCAUUCAAGCUGCAGUUGAUAAAGACGGUGCUGUGCUGGCUUCUGUUCUUUGUAUUUAAGAUUUUGUUUUUAAUUAAUAGCCUACCUAUCAAAAAAAGUCCAGGACCAGACAGAGUCACAGCCAAAUUCCACCAGAGGUACAAACAGGAAAUGGUACCAUUCCUUCUGAAACUAUUCCAAACAAUAGGAAAAGAGGGAAUCCUCCCUAACUCAUUUUAUGAGGCCAGCAUCAUCCUGAUACCAAAACCUGGCAGAGACACCACACACACACACACACACACACACACACACACCCAGAAAAUUUCAGGCCAAUAUCCUUGAUGAACAUCAUGCGAAAAUCCUCAAUAAAAUAGAGGCAAUCCAAAUCCAGCAGCACAUCAAAAAGCUUAUCCACCACAAUCAAGUCAGCUUCAUCUCUAGGAUGUAAGGCUGGUUCAACAUAUACAAAUCAAUAAACAUAAUCCAUCACAUAAACAGAAUCAAUGACAAAAACCACAUGAUUAUCUCAAUAGAUGCAGGAAAUGCCUUCGUCAAAAUUCAACAGCCCUUCAGGCUAAAAACUCUUAAUAAACUAGGCAUUGAUGGAACAUAUCUCAAAAUAAUAAGAGCAAUUUAUGACAAACCCACAGCCAAUAUCCUACUGAAUGGGCAAAAACUGGAAGCAUUCCCUUUGAAAACUGUCAGAAGACAAGGAUGCCCUCUCUCACCACUCCUAUUCAACAUAGUAUUGGAAGUUCUGGCCAGGGCAAUCAGGCAAGAGAAAGAAAUAAAGGGUAUUCAAGUAGGAAAAGAGGAAGUCAAAUUGUUUCUGUUGCAGAUGACAUGAUUAUAUAUUUAGAAAACCCCAUUGUCUCAGCCCAAAAUCUCCUUAAGCUGAUAAGCAACUUCAGCAAAGUCUCAGGAUACAAAAGCAAUGUGCAAAAAUCACAAGCAUUCUUAUACACCAAUAACAGAGAAACAGAGAGCCAAAUCAUGAGUGAACUCCCAUUCACAAUUGCUACAGAGGAUACAAUACUAGGAAUACAACUUACAAGGGAUGUGAAGGGCCUCUUCAAGGAGAACUACAAACCACUGUUCAAGCAAAUAAGAAGAGUGCACAAACAGAUGGAAAAAUAUUCCAUGCUUAUGGAUAGAAAGAAUCAAUAUCAUCAAAAUAGCCAUACUGCCCAAAGUAAUUUGUAGAUUCAAUACUAUCCCGAUUAAGCUACCAUUGACUUUCUUCACAGAAAUGGAAAACACUACUUUAAAUUUCAUAUGGAACCAAAAAAGAGCUUGCAUAGCCAAGACAAUCCUAAGCAAAAGGAACAAAGCUGGAGGCAUCUUGCUACCUGACUUUAAACUAUACUACAAGGCUACAGUAACCAAAACAGCAUGGUACUAUUACCAAAACACCAAAAUAGAUAUAUAGACCAAUGGAACAGAACAGAGGCCUCAGGAAUAAUGCCACACAUCUACAACCAUCUGAUCUUUGACAAACCUGACAAAAGCAAGCAAUGGGGAAAGGAUUCCCUAUUUAAUAAAUGAUGCUGGGAAAACUGGCUAGCCAUAUGCAGAAAGCUAAAACUGGAUCCCUUCCUUACACUUUAUACAAAAAUUAACUCAAGGUGGAUUCAAGACUUAAACGUAAAGCCUAAAACCAUGAAAACCUAGGCAAUAUCAUUCAGGACAUAGGCAUGGGCAAAGACUUCAUGACUAAAACACCAAAAACAAUUGCAACAAAAGCCAAAAUUGACAAAUGGGAUCUAAUUAAACUAAAGAGCUUCUGCACAGCAAAAGAAGCUAUCAUCAGAGUGACAGGCAAUCUACAGAAUGGGAGAAAAUGUUUGUAAUCUAUCCAUAUGACAAAGGGCUAAUAUCCAGAAUCUACAAGGAACUUAAACUUAUUUACAAGAAAAAGACAAACAACCCCAUCAAAAAGUGGGCAAAAGAUAUAAACAGACUUCUCGAAAGAAGACAUUUAUGCUGCCAACAAACAUAUGAAAAAAGGCUCAUCAUGACUGGUCAUUAGAGAAAUGCAAAUCAAAACCACAAUGAGAUACCAUCUCACACCAGUUAGAAUGGCAAUCAUUAAAAAGUCAGGGAACAACAGAUACUGGAGAGGAUGUGGAGAAAUAGGAAUGCUUUUACACUGUUGGUGGGAGUGUAAAUUAGUUCAACCAUUGUGGAAGACAGUGUGGCGAUUCCUCAAGGAUCUAGAACUAGAAAUACUAUUUGACCCAGCAAUCCCAAUACUGGGUAUAUACCCAAAGGAUUAUAAAUCAUUCUACUAUAAAGGCAUAUGCACACGUAUGUUUAUUGUGGCACUGUUCACAAUAGCGAAGACUUGGAACCAACCCAAAUGCCCAUCAAUGAUAGACUGGAUAAUGAAAAUGUGGCACAUAUACACCAUGGGAUACUAUGCAGCCAUAAAAAAGGAUGAGUUCGUGUCCUUUGCAGGGACAUGGAUGACACUGGAAACCAUAAUUCUUAGCAAACUAACACAAGAACAGAAAACCAAACACUGCAUGUUUUCACUCAUAAGUAGGAGUUGAACAACGAGAACACAUGGACACAGGUAGGGGAACAUCACACACUGGGGCCUGUCAGGAGGUGGGGGCAUAGGGGAGGGAUAGCAUUAGGAGAAAUACCUAAUGUAGAUGAUGAGUUGAUGGGUCCAGCAAACCACCAUGGCACAUGUAUACCUAUGUAACAAACCUGCACUUUCUGCACAUGUACCCCAGAACUUAAAGUAUAAUAAAAAAAAGAUUUCAUUUUUAUCUCCCAUCACCAAUGUACUUUUACGGUAUGGUACUAUUACUGACUAUGCCCCAUAAGGAUGACACUCCCACAUCUUUGAUUGUUUCUGAUAUUGGUGGUGUAUUGGCCUAAGUUGUGUUCUCCCAGAAUUCAGCCUUAACCCUCAAUAUCUUAGAGUAUGACUAUUUGGAGAUAGGCCUUUAAAGAGGUAAUUUAUUUAAAAUGAAGCUGUUGGGGUGGACCUAUCUAACUGGUAUCCUCAUAAGCAGAGGAGAUUUGGACAUGCAGAGAGAUACCAGAGAUACACAGAAGAAGGACCAUGUGAGAACACAGGGAGAUGGCCCCGUCUGCAGGCCAAGCCGAGGCCAGCAAAACUGACCCUGCGGAUGCCUUGAACUAAGACUUCCAACCACCAGAACUGUGAGAAAAUACAUUUCUGUAGUUUGCAGCAGCCAGUCUGAUAUUUUGUUAUGGCGAGCCUGGCAAAUGAAUACAGGUGGCUUUUCUCAUUUUUGCAGUGAUUGCCAAAAUGGCUGCAAAUUACUCUCCUCCUUGUAGCUACACUCUUUUGCAUUGUGACUUUGUAGCUCAGGAAGGAAGGAUUAUUCACUAUCAUUUGACUUUGUGGACUUAUUCUAGCCAAUAAAAUGUGCCAGAAAUGUCCAGGCUGGGCUUUGAAAUGGGGCUUCCACAGAGCCCACUCAGGCCCCCUGUGACGAGUGCAGGCUAACUCGUUGCCAGUUUCAGCCAGCUGGUGGGCUUCAGGUAUGUGAGUGAGCCUGGUCCAGAGCAGCAGCAUGGCCUGGCCUAGUCCAGCCCAAGCUGCUAACCAAAUUAUUGCUGGAAAUCACUAGCUCUUGUUGGUUUAUUCUGUAGCAAAACUAACUGGGCUGAUUUCCCAUUCAGAGGAGCAGGACAAAGCCAGGUCAUGGCUUGUCAGUUUACAGAACGUAGGUUUCCAGUCAGUGUGAGUAUUCGCAACCCAAACCCUGCACCCCCAGGUCAGGAGGCCAAAGAAGUUGAACAGUGAACUAGCUAGGUUCUGUCUACUUAAUUUAGAAUAAUUUUUCUCAUAAUUUGACCAACAUGCAUGAAAGAAGUCCUCAACCUCUGCCAAAUUAAGUGUAUCCUAUGACUCUCCAUCUGAAAACAUUCUUUCUGGGGCCGGGGAAGUUCCUUCCAUCCCUGUCUUUUGGUGGCUGUGUUGAAGAUGCGAUGAGAAGAUAUCGGUCAUCCUCCUUUUCCUAGGGUAAUUCCGCCGUUUGCCCUCUGAACACGAUCUACCUUCGGAACGCUAUCACUUGCUCCUGUUCAACGAGAAAGAGCGAGCUUUGUGUCUUGUAGCAAAUGCAUGACUUGAUGAGCACAUCUUUCCUCUCACUUUCUGGUUGAGAGCUUCUGCUUUCUUUUAACCCCAUCUGAGAAGGAGGUUUCUUAACACAGGGCAGUUAGAGAAAUGAAGCAUGUCCUGUACCAGGAGAACAUGUGAAGUGAGUUUACUUUUGAUAGAAAAUGGACCUAAGGCUGGCUUCAGUUCUUCUCCUUCCACAGAGCUCCCGGAAUGUCCUGGAAUGUCCCGGAAUGUCGAAGCCAGGGGGCUUUGCCCUUCUCAGUGCUCUGAGGAGGCAUCUUCUAGUGUCUGUUCUCUGAAGGAUCAGAAAGGUGAGCCACGUGGAGAUCACCUGCGCCUGAUGUGGUUCACGGGCCCCCUGCCAGGGGCAGUCACUGGUUUUGUCUGCUGUAGAUCUAUCAUCUGUUAGGCAUCUUAUACAUUUUUUUGAGACAGAGCAGUAAAGGAAUGUGCCCCAGAUCAUUAAAGUCCUGUGUGUGGGCGGUCUGCGUGGGGGAGGCACUGCCGCAGAGGAUGCAUUGGACAUGACCGGUUCAUAUGAAAAUCCCCUUGGAAAAUGCGUGUGGCACCAGAUUGCUGGAGUUUUCUCAGUCUAAACAGUUCCUGAUGAUCUCCCUCCCUCUUGCUUGCUCUUUAUAUAUAUCUAUAUUUUUUUAAACUAAAACUAAACUGUUAUCUACAAAGGAACUCAUCAGCGUGUACGCACACACAGCAUUCCAUCCAAUCCCUGCCCUCGCCCACCCGCUGUCCAAAUAAAAACACUUCAAAUGUUUUGGAUCCAGUUUCUUAUUUCCUGUGAGCAGUUGUCGGCGUUACUUUACGUGGAGAGGUUUGGUUGUAAGAUGAGCAAAUGCCCAUGAGCUCUAUCCCUCGUAGUAAGUUAGGCCAGCAGGCUGUGAGACUUCGGAGACUGAUGCCAAUUUUCUUCUUAGAGCAUAAUCCUGUCAUGCAGAACAGAAAGUUUUUGCUCCUUUGAAUUAAAGCCUUACUACUUUGCCUGAUUUGUGUUUGAGGUUUUAUAUUUUUUUCCUUUAGUAGAGACAAUUUAAUCUCAAAAUGCCAAGUCCUCUUAAACUUUCCUACUCUGUUGUGGAGUGUGUUUCAUCUUAAAAACAUCCCAGAGAAACUUGGAAGAGGUCCUUGGGUAAGUGAAUGCCCUCCUCGCCAUCAUAGAGACUGCUGAGCACAAGACUAAAAACGUACGUCUGUCAAACUGUUUUGCCGUCAAAUAAUGAAGACGUUUGCAUGCCAUUUUAGAUUUUGCAACUCAGUACUGCUUAUCUCGCAGAGGCCUGUGGCGUCCAGUGUUGAUCCACCAGUUAUACUUCGCAGGUGUGAGUGUUUCGCUGCAACGUUCCUGCCUGCAAAACGUCCUGCUCCGUUGUUCUCCUUAAAUCAGUCCCACUUCCAGAGGGUUUGAUUCCACUCUGUUCCCUGGUCUAUGGUGUCAACUAGGAAUUUGUUCUCAGUUAUUUUUGGGGUGAUUUCCCGACUCAAGGAAAUGUCCUAGCUUUCCAGGGGUCUCACGCGGAUUCAACCUUUGGGGAAUUUUCUCCUUGAAAGCCUGCGGUGUCAUGGCUUCCAUGCCUUGUGUGGGUUCAGGAGUCCUUGCUCUGGGACCCUGGGGCGGGGAUUCUGCCUCCCUAGGCACGUUUCUGCUUGUUCCUCUGCAGCCUUGCCCCCUCCCAGGCUCAAGGUGGCGGGCCCUGCCGCUUUUCCUGCCCUUCCCCACUUCGGGGGUCUGCCUAUUUUUCCUCAUUAUCUCUGCCUUUUUCCAACCCCCUAAUGCAAUCUCCUCCAGAAGGUAGAACCCUGGGAGGAAGAGAGCUAGGAAGGGAAGAGUCUAUAUGGGUACAAAGAGUUCGUGCACGUGGAACACACGAUACCACGUCACUAAGCAAAUUAACCUUCCGUGUCUGGAUGAGGAAAGUCAGGUGCAGAGAAGGUAAGUGACUUAUAGAAAACCAGACGGCAGAUAAACCACAGGUUUUGGUAUAAAGGAAGCCUUCUGAAUGCAGGUCACAUGUCCUUUAUAAACAGGAAAACUGAACGAAGGUGCUUUCAAUUAUUGAAUCCCACGUGUUUUCCAGGAUGGAAAGUUAAAGUCUACUCUAUGGAACAGAAACAGGAAUUAUCUUCUUUCCAAGGGUGGCUUGACCCAUCAGUGACACACUUCUGCAAUCUAGUUCCUAGGCCAUAGAAGUCCAGUCGCUGAUGCCAAGAACCAGUGAGAGACCUCCCAUUCUCAGCACUUAUUACCCCUAUGCACCACAGUGGUCGGCUAAACUUCUAGGGUGUCUGUGGACAACAUUUGGCAGGUUUCUUUCUUUUUUUUUUUUUUCUUUUUUGAGACAGAAUCUCACUCUGUCGCCCAGGCUGGAGUGCAGUGGCGCCAUCUCAGCUCACUGCAAGCUCCGCCUCCCGGGUUCAUGCCAUUCUCCUGCCUCAGCCUCCCGAGUAGCUGGGACCACAGGUGCCCGCCACCACACCCGGCUAAUUUUUUGUAUUUUUAGUGGAGACGGGAUUUUACUGUGUUAGCCAGGAUGGUCUCGAUCUCCUGACCUCGUGAUCCGCCCACCUCAGCCUCCCAAAGUGCUGGGAUUACAGGCGUGAGCCACCGCGCCCAGCCACAUUUGGCAGGUUUCAAUCCCAGCCUUGCUUCUCAGGUAACAGGUGUCUAUUUCCCCUAUCUCUUUGUAAAACAGAAAGUGUUGUAGUAAACUUUAGUGCUCAGACAGAAAACUGAAAAUGUAGAUGGACUGCCACUUAGAAUCGGAAGCUCUUAAAGUCUUCUAGCUGAAGAAAAACAUGGAGUUGAAAACUGGAUUUGCUGCUUUUCUGGAAAAAUAAAGUCAGUUAUAAUUUUUCCUAUAUUAUAUUUUUAAAAAAGAUUGCAUAUUUCGACAAGUGAAAAUGCUAAUAGGAGCCUUACAGAAAAGCUGAUAAUAUUGCAACAAAAUAUAUGAAUCCUGCUAAGGGCAUUCUAGCCUUCUGAGGUUGGACAUCUUAUAAAUGUGGCUAGAUAUUCAGGAUUAUUGCACCAUUGCUGCAUUUUUUUCUUAGAUUGCUCUCUUCAGAGCAAAUAAAUUAAAAUAUACUAAUUGUGUUAGAAAAGCCUAAACCUUAAAAUUCAAUAUAAUUGUGGUCAAAUAAUGCAGAUUAUGAAAUGUGCAUGUGAGAGUCCUAGCUCAAGGAGAAUUCAUGCCUCAGUCACUGCCACUCGUACACCCAUCCAUCCAUCCUCCUAUCCUCUCAUUUAUCCAUCCAUCCACCUAUCCAUCCAUCCAUCCACCCAUUCAUCCUCCUAUCCUCUCACUUAUCCAUCCGUCCACGUAUCCAUCCAUCCAUCCAUCCAUCCAUCCAUCCUCCUAUCUCACUUAUCCAUCCAUCCAUCCAUCCAUCCAUCCAUCCAUCCAUCCUCCUAUCCUCUCAUCCAUCCAUCCACGUAUGAAUCAAAGACAACAAGCAGCCCUCUGCUUAGCUCAGCUCCCAGGAACCGUUCUCUUCCCAGAGCUCAUGUUCUGGAGGGGCCUGACUUUCCAUCUUCUCUGGAGAUCCUCUGAUGAAAGCAUAACCAGAGGAAGGCGUACGUUCAACUUGCUCACCUUCUCCCCUGCUGAGAUGGCCUUUGGAGGCCCUUCCAGUUAAUUUGCCUAACGCUGCACUGCAUCGUGUUUCUAGUUAACUGCAAAGCAAAUAGUCCAUGGCCUAGAGGAGGCCUGCACACUGGAACAAUUGUUGGAAUACGCCAGCCAUUUAAUGUAUCAAGAGUGAAGGAGAAAUAUUCCUGUGUGGCUUCAGUGGUAAAGUGUGAAAAGGACUGCAAAGCCCAUGUGUCACCGAGGAGAGGGUCAGAAGAAUGUUGCUGGCAGGGCAGAGGCCAUUUCUAGAUGCUGGUGUGAUGGAGAAAAUGUAAUCAACCAUAAGGCCCUUGGGGAAAGCAUUGUAUUUGUUUGGAAGAAAUACUUUCAUAUAAGACCCCCGUGAACAUGCUCAAAGACAAAAGAUAGUCUCUCAAUAUCGCCUAGUGUGGUGGCGCAUGCUUGUAGUCCCAUCUACUCGGGAGGCUGAGGCAGGAGAAUGACUGGAACCCAGGAGGCGGAGGUUGUAGUGAGCCAAGAUCGUGCCACUGCACUCCAGCCUGGGCAACAGAGAGAGACUCCGUCUCAAAAAAAAAAAAAAAAAGAAAAGAAA